rnacentral:rRNA from 1 species
UACAGGGGGGGCAAGCGUUGUUCGGAAUUACUGGGCGUAAAGCGUGCGCAGGCGGUUUUGUAAGACUGGCGUGAAAUCCCCGGGCUUAACCUGGGAAUGGCGAUGGUGACUGCAAGGCUAGAGUUUGGCAGAGGGGGGUAGAGUUCCACGUGUAGCAGUGAAAUGCGUAGAUAUGUGGAGGAACACCGAUGGCGAAGGCAGCCCCCUGGGUCAAAACUGACGCUCAUGCACGAAAGCGUGGGGAGCAAACAGG